CCUACGGGAGGCAGCAGUGAGGAAUAUUGGUCAAUGGACGAGAGUCUGAACCAGCCAAGUAGCGUGAAGGAUGACUGCCCUACGGGUUGUAAACUUCUUUUAUAAAGGAAUAAAACGAGGCACGUGUGCCUGUUUGCAUGUACUUUAUGAAUAAGGAUCGGCUAACUCCGUGCCAGCAGCCGCGGUAAUACGGAGGAUCCGAGCGUUAUCCGGAUUUAUUGGGUUUAAAGGGAGCGUAGAUGGGUUGUUAAGUCAGUUGUGAAAGUUUGCGGCUCAACCGUAAAAUUGCAGUUGAUACUGGCAGUCUUGAGUACAGCUGAGGUAGGCGGAAUUCGUGGUGUAGCGGUGAAAUGCUUAGAUAUCACGAAGAACCCCGAUUGCGAAGGCAGCUUACUAAGCUGUGACUGACAUUGAUGCUCGAAGGUGUGGGUAUCAAACAGGAUUAGAUACCCUAGUAGUC
rnacentral:rRNA from 1 species